rnacentral:pre_miRNA from 1 species
AGAGAAAUUGCUAGGUGGUAUGGUAAGUGUAUAUUUAUAAGGAACUGCCAAAGUGUUUUCUAAAGUUGUUGUACUAUUUUGCAUUUCUAGCAGCAAU